ensembl:lncRNA
UGGGCACUCGUAACUAUGACCACGUCGGUGGCACGUUAUCUAUUACUCAUGGUUGACUGCAGUAACCCCGGUGAGUGCGUUGACCAUGUCAACGCACAAUUGGGGCACAGCUCAGGCACUCGUGAGUUUGUUGCACACGUCGGUGCGGUACAACACAGUACUCAACGUCCUACAUCCGGUCGAGUUCAAGGUUCUUUCUUCAAGCGCACACGAUGCUCUCUAACGUCGGUUAAGACAGGUUUUACACGUUUGCAACCAUAGCUGUUUUUGGCGGCCUGUUCCUUUCUAGUGUUAGUCUAGUCUUGUGUCCAGCUGUCAUUUUAGUUUUUAUUAGUUAGGGUUACAUUCAUACUCUUUCCAGUGUUAUCGUAAUUCCAUUUAGAUAUUAUCGAAGUUGCAAGUGCGUAGUUUUGUUAAAUAAGGUAAACGGUUGAAAAUUGAUGUUAUGUCUGGAACAGUUGAAGUUCCAGUUGAACAAAAUAACGUUAUAAGUCUUUAUCGCCUAGUUUAGGUCAACGAAAAUGAAGAGACAUUUUAGCAGUCUUAUUUUCGUAAAACACUUUUUAGUCUUGUUUUAUUCGCCAACUAUAUUGUACUAUGCUUUUAAUCACAGCUAUUGUCACACGCCCAGCAUCCACGUUGCGUCCAGUCUCGUUUUUCUCACGCGAUGAAGGCUUGUUGAUGACGACUCUUAGUCAUAAUUUUCAUUGCUAAAAGCAACACUAUUCUGGCGGCCUGUUUCCAUUCCAGGGUUAUUCUAGUCUUAGUGUCUAGCUGUUAUUUUAGUCUAUUCGUUUUAGUUACGUCUAUAUUCUUUCUAGUGUUAUCGAAAUAUAUUGCACUAUGUAUUUAACUACAGUUAUUGUCACACGCCCAGCAUGCACGUUGCGUCCCGUUUGUUUUUUGUUUGUUUGUUUUUCUUUCUCACGCGAUAAAGGUUCGUGAUGACGAUAUUUUGUCAUUAUUUUCGUUGCUAAAAGCGACAUUAUUUGCAACUACUGGUGGUGGUGGUGGUUAUCAGGUACUAAAUUCAUAAAGCAAAAUUCGGUUUCAUAACUCAGGUUAACCUGCAGCAACCCCGGCGAGUGUGACCACGUCGGUGGAUCAUCUAGAAAACACUCUUGAGUUCGCUGUCACGUCAGUGGCGUAAAAUAGGAAAAUAAAACUCAAGGUUGCAGCGGCAACCCCGGUGAGUGCGUGACCACGUCGGUGGCACAUCAAGGGCACUCGUGAGUAUGACCACGUCGGUGGCACCAUAUAUGUAGCAAAAUUCAAAUGGCAAUGCAAUUUGCAAUUUGCAAUUCAAUAAGUAAUUACGUUAUGCAAUUGACAAUGCAUUAUGCAAUUUCAUAAUGUAAUUUGUAAAUACGUUAUUCAAAGUGUAUUUUAAUAUGCAAAGUGACAAUGCAAUCCUCAAUUACAUUUGCAAAAGUUAUAACAAUAAAAAUACAAUAACAUUUUGGCAAAUUCUUUUGAGU